rnacentral:tRNA from 1 species
GGGCGAUUAGCUCAGUUGGUUAGAGCGCCGCUCUGAUAAGGCGGAGGUCCCUGGUUCGAAUCCAGGAUCGCCCAUCA